rnacentral:rRNA from 1 species
UACAGAGGUCCCAAGCGUUGUUCGGAUUCAUUGGGCGUAAAGGGUGCGUAGGCGGCGCGGUAAGUCGGGUGUGAAAUCUCGGAGCUUAACUCCGAAACUGCAUUCGAUACUGCCGUGCUUGAGGACUGGAGAGGAGACUGGAAUUUACGGUGUAGCGGUGAAAUGCGUAGAUAUCGUAAAGAAGACCAGUGGCGAAGGCGGGUCUCUGGACAGUUCCUGACGCUGAGGCACGAAGGCCAGGGGAGCAAACGGG